AUUGAACGCUGGCGGCAUGCUUUACACAUGCAAGUCGAACGGCAGCGCGGGCUUCGGCCUGGCGGCGAGUGGCGAACGGGUGAGUAAUACAUCGGAACGUGCCCAGUAGUGGGGGAUAGCUCGGCGAAAGCCGGAUUAAUACCGCAUACGACCUGCGGGUGAAACCGGGGGAUCUUCGGACCUCGCGCUCUUGGAGCGGCCGAUGGCAGAUUAGCUCGUUGGUGGGGUAAAGGCCUACCAAGGCGACGAUCGGUAGCUGGUCUGAGAGGACGACCGGCCACACUGGGACGGAGACACGGACCAGAGUCCUACGGGAGGCAGCAGUGGGGAAUGUUGGACAAUGGGCGAAAGCCUGAUCCAGCAAUGCCGCGUGUGUGAUGAAGGCCUUCGGGUUGUAAAGCACUUUUGGCGGGAACGAAAAGGACUGUGCCAAUACCACGGUUCGAUGACGGUACCCGCAGAAUAAGCACCGGCUAACUACGUG
rnacentral:rRNA from 1 species